rnacentral:miRNA from 1 species
UUUGGAUAUGUGUGUGUGUAUGUGCAUAUGUGUAUAUGUAUAUAUACAAACACAUACACACCUACUCUCUAUA